rnacentral:rRNA from 1 species
ACGGGUGAGUAACACGUGAGUAACCUGCCCUUGACUCUGGGAUGAGCCUGGGAAACUGGGUCUAAUACCGGAUACGACCAUCUGGCGCAUGUCAUGGUGGUGGAAAGCUUUUGUGGUUUUGGAUGGACUCGCGGCCUAUCAGCUUGUUGGUGGGGUAAUGGCCUACCAAGGCGACGACGGGUAGCCGGCCUGAGAGGGUGACCGGCCACACUGGGACUGAGACACGGCCCAGACUCCUACGGGAGGCAGCAGUGGGGAAUAUUGCACAAUGGGCGCAAGCCUGAUGCAGCGACGCCGCGUGAGGGAUGACGGCCUUCGGGUUGUAAACCUCUUUCAGUAGGGAAGAAGCCGUAAGGUGACGGUACCUGCAGAAGAAGCGCCGGCUAACUACGUGCCAGCAGCCGCGGUAAUACGUAGGGCGCAAGCGUUAUCCGGAAUUAUUGGGCGUAAAGAGCUCGUAGGCGGUUUGUCGCGUCUGCUGUGAAAGACCGGGGCUCAACUCCGGUUCUGCAGUGGGUACGGGCAGACUAGAGUGCAGUAGGGGAGACUGGAAUUCCUGGUGUAGCGGUGAAAUGCGCAGA